GGGCCUGUAGCUCAGGUGGUUAGAGCGCACGCCUGAUAAGCGUGAGGUCGGAAGUUCAACUCUUCCCAGGCCCA
rnacentral:tRNA from 2 species